rnacentral:rRNA from 1 species
AUUGAACGCUGGCGGCAUGCCUUACACAUGCAAGUCGAACGGCAGCACGGGGGCAACCCUGGUGGCGAGUGGCGAACGGGUGAGUAACAUAUCGGAACAUACCCUAGAGUGGGGGAUAACGUAGCGAAAGUUACGCUAAUACCGCAUACGAUCUAAGGAUGAAAGUGGGGGAUCUUCGGACCUCAUGCUCAUGGAGUGGCCGAUAUCUGAUUAGCUAGUUGGUGAGGUAAAGGCUCACCAAGGCGACGAUCAGUAGCUGGUUUGAGAGAACGACCAGCACACUGGAACUGAGACACGGUCCAGACUCCUACGGAGGCAGCAGUGGGGAAUUUUGGGACAAAUGGGGGGCAACCCCGUGAUCCAGCGAUG